UCGGCUCGUUUGCGUAAUAUACAUAUAUAUACGUAUAUAAUUAUUUGCAAAUGUUCUACUUUGUCACCGGUGUAAAAUACCAUACGUCGUUAUCCCGGGAAACCGUUAAAUUAGAGCGGGUUUUAGGAUACCGCGUGUGAUCGAUUUCUCUCGCCACUAUGACGACGUAAAGUAACAUUACGUCCCAGUGGAUUGUGCGAUGCGAUGCCUAAUUCGAGUUUACGGGUCGUUCCUUGUACACGACGGC